CCUACGGGUGGCAGCAGUGAGGAAUAUUGGUCAAUGGACGCAAGUCUGAACCAGCCAUGCCGCGUGCAGGAAGACGGCUCUAUGAGUUGUAAACUGCUUUUGUACGAGGGUAAACGCAGAUACGCGUAUCUGUCUGAAAGUAUCGUUCGAUUAAGGAUCGGCUAACACCGUGCCAGAAGCCGCGGUAAUCCGGAGGAUUCAAGCGUUAUCCGGAUUUAUUGGGUUUAAAGGGUGCGUAGGCGGAUCGUUAAGUCAGUGGGCAAAUUGCGGGGCUCAACCCCUUCCCGCCGUGGAAACUGGGGUUCUUGAGUGGAAGAGAAGUAUGCGGAAUGCGUGGUGUAGCGGUGAAAUGCAUAGAUAUCACGCAGAACCCCGAUUGCGAAGGCAGCAUGCCGGCUUCCGACUGACGCUGAAGCACGAAAGCGUGGGGAUCGAACAGGAUUAGAUACCCCGGUAGUC
rnacentral:rRNA from 1 species